rnacentral:rRNA from 1 species
CCUACGGGAGGCUGCAGUAGGGAAUUUUCGUCAAUGGGCGCAAGCCUGAACGAGCAAUGCCGCGUGAACGAGGAAGGUCUUCGGAUCGUAAAGCUCUGUUGAAGGGGAAAAAGAGCGGAGAGAGGAAAUGAACUCCGAUUGAUAUUACCCUUCGAGGAAGUCACGGCUAACUACGUGCCAGCAGCCGCGGUAAUACGUAGGUGGCGAGCGUUAUCCGGAAUGAUUGGGCGUAGAGGGUGCGUAGGCGGCCUGCUAAGUCUGGCGUGAAAGGGACGGGCUAAACCGGUAUAGGCUCUGGAAACUGGCGGGCUAGAGAGCAGGAGAGGGCGGCGGAACUCCAUGUGUAGCGGUAAAAUGCGUAGAUAUAUGGAAGAACACCAGUGGCGAAGGCGGCCGCCUGGCCUGUUACUGACGCUGAGGCACGAAAGCGUGGGGAGCAAAUAGGAUUAGAUACCCUUGUAGUC